rnacentral:rRNA from 1 species
CUACGGGCCGCAGCAGUGAGGAAUAUUGCACAAUGGGGGGAACCCUGAUGCAGCAACGCCGCGUGGAGGAUGACGCAUUUCGGUGUGUAAACUCCUUUUAUAUGUCAAGAAAAUGACGGUAGCAUAUGAAUAAGCACCGGCUAACUCCGUGCCAGCAGCCGCGGUAAUACGGAGGGUGCAAGCGUUACUCGGAAUCACUGGGCGUAAAGGACGCGUAGGCGGGUUGGAAAGUCAGGUGUGAAAUCCUACAGCUUAACUGUAGAACUGCACUUGAAACUUCUAAUCCAGAGUAUGGGAGGGGGAGAUGGAAUUAGUGGUGUAGGGGUAAAAUCCGUAGAUAUCACUAGGAAUACCUAAAGCGAAGGCGAUCUCCUGGAACAUUACUGACGCUAAGGCAUGAAAGCGUGGGGAGCAAACAGGAUUAGAUACCCCGGUAGUC